GAGAUGACUGAUUUGCUCACACUUCUUCCCAGCCAUUGAUGUGGUUACUUCUUUUCAGUAAAGAAAAAAUAAUUGCUGGUAUCAGUGAGAAGUCCUUAAUGUCUAUGUUGCAAAAAUUAGAACAAAGUCUAUCAAAUUUAUCUGAUGUAUUUAUGCUGGAUCAUAAUACUGCUUUUUGUACUCUGUACUCCUUUGGAAACCACAGAAUUAGUAAUAUUGCCCUAUCCAGUUUGCCAGUACAUUGCCCUUGGAGCUAUCUUCCAAUAGACAUCGGAGCUGGGUGAUGAUUAUUGAAAGGUGUUUGGGAGAAGAGGUUCACUCCGGAGGUAAGCCUCAGAACAAGUAGAUAUAUCAAAAUGAUUAGGAACCUUUAUGUCUUUAGUUGCCACAAUACAUUUGAUAGAUCAGAUGGAUGUAGUGAUGGACAGGAGGAGUUAUAGAUUUAUGGCUGAACAGCACAAUCAUAGUGAUGUCCUCUACUACUAGGGUCACUAGGAAAUUGACUUACUUUUGAAUGACACCUGGUAAAAGAUAACAGAAGCGGAGAACCACAGAAAGUAUUUGGAAGUUCAGCAGAAUAUGCAACAAGCCAAAAAGCUGAUAAUUUCUAUACCUCUUAUUUACUUCUCACUGCCUUCUGAUUGUGUGGACAAAUGGUACCUUCAGGACAAGGCAUUUCCACAAUGCUUGACUGGUGGAGAUGUAGUCAGAACCUGGUGGUUGACAGAAUUAGACGACACAAGAGACAUAGUUAGGAGUAGCUUGGAAGUCAUGGAAAAAAUGAAUGUGAAAAAAUUCAUUAUGGUGAACUCUACAACUGAGUCAAAAAAGAGAUGAGAGCACUGGAUUCUGGGAAACAUACUACGAAAGUUACAAUCAUAAUAAAUUAGGAGGAGCUACAUGGGAGCAGUUCUUCAUUAGCAAGUGAUUUGCAUAGAUAACAGAUCUCUGCAUUGAAGUCUUGCGAAUGUGCUUUGCCCCAGGGAUGGUGG